AUACUUUAUUGGAUACAUUUAUUUACAACAAUAACAAAAUGGUUAGUAACGAAGGUCCUUUAAGUCGUUUUAUUGAUGGCACAAUAAGAAGAAAUAUAUGUGCCGAAGUUUGUAUCCCUUCUUACUUAAAAGACAAUAAAAUGCAUUGUAUUGCUUUAAGGUCUAAAGCAUCUGGAAGUUGUAUGUACAGCUCUGCAUCAUUAUUUUUUGUUGCUGACAAUACACUGAUUAAGAGUUUUAACAUCCCUUGAAAUUUAUAUACAUGCUGAUUAUUACUAGCAGUUAAGAAAAGCUGAUGGUU
rnacentral:lncRNA from 1 species